CGUGCAGGGGAAACGGGUCCGGGUCGCCAGGGUCCGUGGGAAACAGGGUUAGGGGGAAGGGUGCUCCACACUAGCGAAGACUAGAGCAGACUGGCCAUCUUUUUUUUUGUUUUUUGUUUUUUUUUGUUUGUUUUCUGUGUCCCGUUUGGAUCUUUAGCCAUCAGAAUUGUUGUCUUAAGGCCAAGAAAGAUGCCAAGCGGAUUUAUUUUACCAAGUGGAUCAUCAUGGCCUUGCCAUAUUGGUCCAUUUGAUUGACCUUUAUUGUAAUCUAUAUCACUAAAGCACUUCUGGAUUGAUGCAAACUGCAUUUCGUUGCCCUGUACCUGUGCAUGUGCAAUGACAAUAAAGUUGAAUUCUAUUCUAUUCUAAUUCUAUUCUAAUUAUGAAUUUAUUUUAUUUUCAGUUGCUACAAAUGGGACAGACAUGACUGGGGGAUAGGACAGGGAGAAAGAAUGAAAGAAAGAGAGGGUGAGAAAGAAAACCAAAGGGGAGAAGAGACGGUGAGAAGGGGGGAAGAAAGAGAAAAAAGAAAAAAAAGAAAAGAAAAACAAACAAAACACCUGGAUCACCUGUAUAGAUAAAAAAAACAGAAGAGAAAGCAAACAACAAAGAACAACAUAAUAAAAUAAACAGCACCAUCACAAUAAACUAGCUAGCAGUAGAUAACAGUAGAUACUAAAUAAUAAACGAUAUUGUGCAGCACGCAAGAUAGACAGCGCACAAUGUGCUUUGAGGCAACAGCCAAGAAAGCUGUAGUCCGCGUCUGUGAACACCCGUGUGUACACCUGUGUGCAUCAGCAUGCUUGUAUUCCAAAGGUUUCUCCAUGUAACGAUCUGCUAGGGAGUGUGGGGAGCCAUAGCCCCGUCCACCAGGGUAUGAAGCAGGUAUGGAGGAGAUCCAGGCCCCAUGGAUCCAGAGGCCCCAGAGUACAAGGACCCGAGGAGGACCACCAAAGGGCGGGGAACCGUGCCACCCUCCUGGGAAGAGCUGAGUAGAGCCCCAAAGGAGAGGUCACCCCGCAGCUACGGAGCAGAGGCCAGAGGGGGUUGCAGUGGCGUGCCCGCAAGCCCUGCUGGCGGCCAGCUGUGCCAGAGAGGACCGAGCUUCAGGCCCAGAGGCCUGAGGGCAUCCCACUCCCCAUAAGGAGCCCAGCCGGGCCACAGGCUCCCGGCCCCGCCAAUCAGCCACCAGGAGUGAGCCGGAACAUACGUGAGCGCCCAGCCCCAGGCAACAAGGACCACCAACACAACGUCUGAGGGCAUCAGCCACCGGCAGGGAGUGUGGUGAGGGGAGAUAGGUCUCCGUACUUUAGAGGGCCUGAGAUGUACCCAGAGAGGUUGAGUCUAAGACCCAACCUGAUAUAUAGACACAGACGAACAGGCACACGCGGACACAGACGUGCAUUCCCACCCCAUAUGCACAACCAAAUACUCGGCACUCACCCAACAUGUAGACAGACACAAAUAGACACUGCACAGACAGUCGCGCUCCCCAAACAUACUCUAUAUCCCAGGUUCAGGUACCCCCGCCCUCAGAGGGGCAAGCCGCACCUAGACCCAGGAGAUGUAACCCUUCUCUCUGGGGUGGAGGCAAGCAGACCACCUCCCUAUCUGCAGUAGCGGGGAGGCCCCGCAUCCCAGACCCCAGUCUGACGGCCAG
ensembl:lncRNA